rnacentral:rRNA from 1 species
UACGGAGGAUCCGAGCGUUAUCCGGAUUUAUUGGGUUUAAAGGAUGCGCAGGUUGUUUGAUAAGUCAGUGGUGAAAGUCUGUCGCUUAACGGUAGGAUUGCCAUUGAUACUGUUGGACUUGAAUAUGGAUGAGGUAGGCGGAAUGUGUAGUGUAGCGGUGAAAUGCAUAGAUAUUACACAGAACACCGAUUGCGAAGGCAGCUUACUAAUCCAUCAUUGACGCUGAGGCACGAAAGCGUGGGGAUCAAACAGGA